rnacentral:misc_RNA from 1 species
AACUUUUGGCAAUGGAUCUCUAGGCUCUCGCAUCGAUGAAGAACGCAGCGAAAUGUGAUACGUAAUGUGAAUUGCAGAAUUGAGUGAAUCAUCGAAUCUUUGAACGCAUCUUGCGCUCCUUGGUAUUCCGAGGAGCAUGUCUGCUUGAGUGUCAUGAAAUUCUCGACCGCCCCGGAGGGUUUGCUCCCUCUGGGGUAACAGGUUCGGACCGUGGCCGUGAUGCCCGCGCGCGCUGCGGGCGGGCUCGGCUGAAUUAGCUGAAGGCUGACUUAAGAUUUGGGAUCGGCUGACCCGAUAUCGUACAUCUCACUUUGUCGGGUUGCCGCAUCUUUGCCAUUUCAGCCUCCCCUGAAUCAAGGGGAUCACUGUUUACAUUGAUCUCGACCUCAAGUCAGGCAGGACUACCCGCUGAACUUAAGCAUAUCAAUAAGCGGAGGCU